UUCGCGUUAGCGAUGGCAGCGGCAUCCUUUUUAUGCCUUUGGAUAAUUGAAUCUAAUUUUGACUGAAAAAUUUUAUUUGUUUUCUACCUUCUGAAAAUGAAUAAAUUAAGCAUAAAAAGAUACAGCGGACAGCGCGGUCAUCU
rnacentral:sRNA from 1 species